AUGAAGAGGAAAUCUGUCGUUACAGCUGCAGAGUUCCAAGUGAACCAUAGGAUCAGGAAAAGAGGAAGCCCAGGCAUCAAUGUUAUCAUGUGCAUCACUAUAGCAAGCUGUUCCCCCCCUCUCCUUCUAUCUCUCACUCUUCCUCACACCUUUCUCAGAUUCAUCCCUCUGUCCCCUCAUCCUCCUCUUUCUCCUCUGUGUACGACUGACCCUGGUCCCUCAGAUGAGGUCACCAUCUCUCCCUCUCUCAUACCCAUCACUGACUCUCAUACUCUCAUCCCUCCCUCCAUCCCUCUCUCCUCUCCUAUUUAGAUGGAGGGGGCUUUGGUGAACCCUGGGGAGCAGAGGUGAAGUCCUCAGAUAGUAACCCCCAUUGUGGCCCGACUGGAAAUGCAUUGUGGGUGGAUUUGUCCAGUUUUAUGUAAAAGCAAUACUCUUUUCACCUGAACUAAUACAAGCUGUGGCUUAAGCCCCUUACUGCCAUGUGCUGCAUUUCUACCCUAAUCUCUCUGGCUUCAGCUCCGUCCCCACAUACCUCAGGGCACUCACUGAUAAAGCCUUAGUUCCCUUUCCUUCUCUAGCACUCCUCUCACUCUCUUCCCUUUUUUCUCUCUCUCUCUCUCUCUCUCUCUCUCUCUCUCUCUCUCUCUCUUUCUCUUUUUAUUCUUCAGGACAUCGGUGAAGCAGCCUAGCAAAAAAUUCAAGUGAUCAAGAGAUUUAGGUGGAAGAGAGGAAAAUCACUGCCCGAAUCCCAUCUCGAAGAGAAGAUGAGAAAGAGUGAGGGAAUAAGAAAAAAUUAGAGAGGGGGGGAGGAGGAUGAAGGGAAUUCUCAACUUAGGAGUGUAAAGCAAUCCCAACAGGAAGUCACACACCGCACAUACAUUAUAACUGGAUUCUGUUGUCUGACUGAGCGAGGAGAUUGAGCGACAGGACAGAUAAAAGAAGGAACGUUCAUGUUCAGAGUAAAACAACCCACACAAGGGAAUCU
rnacentral:lncRNA from 1 species